rfam:Cavia porcellus supercont2_176 genomic scaffold, whole genome shotgun sequence.
GGCUUCUCGCCCAUCAGGCUUCCGGGGAUCCCAUGGCUCCUCAGCCAGCGCUAGAGAGGCACGGCCAGUGCUGCUGCGAGCUGGCAGCCUUGUUUCCUGGACAUGC